AGAACGAACGCUGGCGGCAGGCUUAACACAUGCAAGUCGAACGCCCCGCAAGGGGAGUGGCAGACGGGUGAGUAACGCGUGGGAAUCUACCUAGCUCUUCGGAAUAGCUCCGGGGAAACUGGAAUUAAUACCGAGUACGCCCUACGCGGGAAAGAUUUAUCGGAGUUAGAUGAGCCCGCGUUGGAUUAGCUAGUUGGUGGGGUAACGGCCUACCAAGGCGACGAUCCAUAGCUGGUCUGAGAGGAUGAUCAGCCACACUGGGACUGAGACACGGCCCAGACUCCUACGGGAGCAGCAGUGGGGAAUAUUGGACAAUGGGCGCAAGCCUGAUCCAGCCAUCGCCGCGUGAGUGAUGAAGGCCCUAGGGUUAGUAAAGUCUCUUCGAGGUGGGGAAGAUAAUGACGGUACCACGAGAAGAACGCCCGGACUAACUUCG
rnacentral:rRNA from 1 species